AGGCGGUAAUCAAGAGGACGUGACCACCGGUUAACCAGCGAGCUUGACCAGGGCAAUCAGAGACUCCUCCCUCUUCCUGUGUCCUUGGAAUGUGCCGGAAGGAUCUAGUCACUGGGAACCUAUUCUAGCCUGGAGUCCAUAGAAGACUCAGUUUGGUGACAGCCUAUGAGCAGAUGCCUUAUUUGCAAACACACUCCCGGGAAACAAAGAAUAAUGAGAAAAGAAGAAUGAGACCAGAAAAGAGGAAGAACAAAUAAAAGGAGUUGUGUUUCCGAGCUGUCCGCAGCUCUGUAACCACCAGAGCUGAUCAUUCAGUCCUGUGGGCAGCAUCCUGAGAAACUUUACAAACUAUUGUUUCUUUGAGCAGACCAUCUUGGGACAGCAAGGAAUUAUUGCUGUGGCUUUGCCAGCCAGAUUUCAGAAGCAAGGCAAGUGCGGGAACCUGAGAUGGCCUGGAAUGAGAUUUUGUAUUGGAGGCAUCAUUUCUGGCGUGAUACAGGAUGGGUGAUGUCAGAACUCAGCCAUUUUGAGUAAAACAGAUAAUAAACAUGAAGCUCAAUAUUUGGAAGUCACUGUUCUUGGUGAUCAUUUCAGAAAAGCC
rnacentral:lncRNA from 1 species